rnacentral:rRNA from 1 species
AGGAUAAACGCUGGCGGCGUGCCUAACACAUGCAAGUCGAACGUCUCUUCUUUCGGGAAGAGGAGUGGCGGACGGGUGAGGAACACGUGGGAACCUGCCCUUUAGUGAGGAAUACCGGCGAGAAAUCGCCGACAAGACCGCAUAGCCUCGGUGCAAGCCGAGGAAAGCUCUCUCGAGAGAGGGAGCGCCACACGAGGAGCCUGCGCCCGAUUAGCUAGCUGGUGGAGUAACGGUUCACCAGGGCGACGAUCGGUAGCUGGUCUGAGAGGACGAUCAGCCACACUGGGAUUGAGAACGGCCCAGACUCCUACGGGGGGCAGCAGUGAGGAAUUUUCGUCAAUGGGGGCAACCCUGAACGAGCAACGCCGCGUGCAGGAAGAAGGUUUUCGGAUCGUAAACUGCUUUUCUCGGGGAAGAGAAUGGACGGUACCCGAGGAAUCAGCCCCGGCUAACUACGCGCCAGCAGCCGC